AUGUACUACUUUUUUAAAACGUUAGCUAAUAUCUUAACGCGGGAGUUUCUAGUGAUAAGAAACAAUCUUCCGUCUAGAUUAUUUUAUUAUAAUGAAAUGUUGGAUUACCACCAAAGGUUCUGGGAUGGUCAAAGUGGUGUAGAGAAAAUAGUCUGUGUGGAUUUGAGUCAUAGUAUCCGGUAUGUUUCUACGGAACGUCUAUGGAAUACCUUAAAGUGUCUACACAAUCUGGGUGUGAUUUCCCACAUCUUAAAGGAAUUUCUAUCUCUCCCGAUAUAUAAUGCUGCCACUAACCUCCAAAUUCCUCAUUCGAAUUGUAUACCAUUGAUAGGUGAAUUGAGCGACGUGCUCCUACAUCUCUUUUUUCAACAUCAAUUCGAUAGGGAGGUCCUGAGCCGGUAUGAAGGUGUUCUUUAUACAAGAUGGGACACCAAUGUCCUUCUAGCUUCAACACGCUAUGAUUCAUAUCAUCUUGAUCGUCCUCAAAUUGUGGACAUCUUAAGGCACGUAAAUCUAAGUGGAUUUAUUUCCGUGAUCGAACGUGGUGGCGGGGGCAUGCACGUGAACCCUGAGAAAUCUCAGAUAUUCCUCAGUGCAGAUGGUGAUGUUAGUAUCCCUCAACUAAGUGAAGGUGAGACUGACUAUGAUAGUGAAUGA
rnacentral:rRNA from 1 species